AUGAUUGUAGAUUGUAAACAAGCAGUUAAUUUGUUGCUCCAAAAUCGGGACUUAAUUACACCAUCUGAAGUUGUUUCACAGCUUCUGAAUACUAGAAAAAAGUGUGAUACGACAGCCUUUUCUUAGGAACAUACCCAACAGUGCACGCAAAGCUUGUUGAUUUUCAAAAAGAACUUGUAAACUUGCAGGUUGUGGAGAAUAAUCCCAAAUACUGGGAAGUUAUGUCAUCAACACUUGCUGUGGGUUGGCUAGAUAUCGUGAGAUCGGGUUUGCAUUGCCAUGGAUGGGGCCUUUUCAAGUGGCAUGCCAAUUGGAGUAAGACCUCAUGAAGCAAAAUAUCUGUGCAAGAAAU